rnacentral:rRNA from 1 species
GAGUUUGAUCCUGGCUCAGGACGAACGCUGGCGGCACGCCUAACACAUGCAAGUCGAACGGAGAUAUUUUGGUUUACUGAGAUAUCUUAGUGGCGGACGGGUGAGUAACACGUGAGCAACCUGCCUCUGAGAGAGGGAUAGCUUCUGGAAACGGAUGGUAAUACCUCAUAACAUAACGAAGCCGCAUGACUUUGUUAUCAAAGAUUUAUCACUCAGAGAUGGGCUCGCGUCUGAUUAGAUAGUUGGUGAGGUAACGGCUCACCAAGCCGACGAUCAGUAGCCGGACUGAGAGGUUGAACGGCCACAUUGGGACUGAGACACGGCCCAGACUCCUACGGGAGGCAGCAGUGGGGAAUAUUGCACAWUGGGGGAAACCCUGAUGCASCGAUGCCGCGUGGAGGAAUAAGGUUUUCGGAUUGUAAMCUCCUGUCUUAAWMGACGAUAAUGACYGUACUU